rnacentral:rRNA from 1 species
AUUGAACGCUGGCGGCAGGCCUAACACAUGCAAGUCGAGCGGGGUUUUCGGACCUAGCGGCGGACGGGUGAGUAAUGCGUAGGAAGCUACCCGAUAGAGGGGGAUACCAGUUGGAAACGACUGUUAAUACCGCAUAAUGUCUACGGACCAAAGUGUGGGACCUUCGGGCCACAUGCUAUCGGAUGCGCCUACGUGGGAUUAGCUAGUUGGUGAGGUAAUGGCUCACCAAGGCGACGAUCCCUAGCUGGUUUGAGAGGAUGAUCAGCCACACUGGAACUGAGACACGGUCCAGACUCCUACGGGAGGCAGCAGUGGGGAAUAUUGGACAAUGGGCGCAAGCCUGAUCCAGCCACGCCGCGUGUGUGAAGAAGGCCUUCGGGUUGUAAAGCACUUUCAGUAAGGAGGAAGCGUUGUGUGUUAAUAGUACACAGCGUUGACGUUACCUACAGAAGAAGCACCGGCUAACUCUGUGCCAGCCGCCGCCGUAAAAC